rnacentral:lncRNA from 1 species
UUUUCUCAAAUUUUCUCUCAAGAACACCCCUUAGGAUUUCAAAAUAAAAAUCCCAAUAACUCAAGAUUCAACCAUGGGUUUUCAAAUCAAAUUGAAGAUUUGGAAUCCCUGCAACGUAGGCUUUAAGAAGCACCUAUCAUAUUCACAUAUAGAGGUAAGUGAGGUUAUCUUAAAAAUCUCAUGGGCUUAAAAAUUCAUGUUUUAAAAAUGGGGGUUUUGAAAUUAUGAAUAUAAACAUAUUUCAAACAUUUUUAUGAUAUUGAUUUGGUCUUUAGGCGUAAUUCCAAAGUGAUUUGAUAUAUGAUAUAUGUAUAUGCAUGUAUUCCAAAAAAUUUUUUAACUUGAGAGCAUGAAUGAUAUGGAAUCCCUCUCUUGAUGUGAAUUUGUUUUAAAUGUUCAUAUGAUGUAAAUUGUUUGAAAACAUCUUGAAAAGCAUGACAUGAAAUGUUUUGAGAAUUGAUAUAAUUUUUACUGGAAAACGAGAGGGCUAUUUGUGUUGAAACAUGUUGAAUAUAAUGGUUGAAUGAGAAUAAUGAUGUGAUAUUGAUGGCUUGCAAGUUGGGUAGGACGAUACUCUAUAGAAUAUGAUAUAUGAUUGAAUUAGAUGAAAUUUCAAUGCAUUGAUUUUUCAUGAGAUAGGUGGAUGCCCGAAGAAGGCAUUUGAGUGUAAGGGCUUAUCGUUGGGAACAGUGUUUGCCGACAUGGGAAUUUGGUACCCUGCUUUAUGAUCUUACGUACCUGACUUUAUGUCAUUCCCAAAUUGGGACUAUGGUUAGGAGCCCUACUUUGUGAUCUUGUACACUACCAUUGGUUCGAGAUACCCUGCUGUGUGAUCUUGUGUGUCUUUCCCUCUCUUAUACUCUAAUCUCGAUGGCAAUCGAGGUUUGACAGUUGGUGUAAAUGUGAUAUAUAGGGUAUUCCACCUAGCUCAGCUUCAUUGCAUUGUUGUUGAAAACAAUUACAUUACACCCAUGUGUUUUCAAAUGAUUAGAUAUGAAACUGCUUUAUAAUGGGUCUCAACUACAUUUUGUAAGAAUAUUAUAUUUUGUUUUGAUAUCUCUGCGUACCAGUACUUUUUUAUUGACCCUCUUCUCUCCCAGGUUCGGAGGCACAAUCUAGGGGUUUAGAAAAUCAGUAGAUUUCCUUAGACAGAUUCACAGAGCCAAUUGAUGAGCCUUCUAUUUUUUGGAAGGCCUGAUAUCUGGCAGUUUCAUUUAUCAUUUAUUAGUUUUGGGUCUACUGGGGGCCUUGUCCCAGUUUUUAAAUAGAUAUUUGUUUCAGUCAUGUAGUUGAAAUUUUGCAGACGUUAUAGAGAUGUUGAUUGAGAUUGUGGGACAUUAUUCCCCAUUAUUAUUUUCAUAUGAUUCUUGACCAUGUUUCUGUUAUAUAGUGUAUCUUCC